rnacentral:rRNA from 1 species
AAACUAGGAUUAGAUACCCUAUUAUUUUAGAGUGUUAAUUGUUUGUUGUGCCUGAGUAGUAUUAGUUAUGUUCUUGAAACUUAAAGAAUUUGGCGGUAUCUCAUUCCGUCCAGAGGAAUCUGUCUCGUUAUCGAUAGUCCACGUUGGACCUUACUUAGUUGCUUUGGUUUGUAUACCGCCGUUUAUUGAUUAUCCUUUUAGGGUUUGCUUAAUUUUCUAGUUCCUUUAUUUUGGUUUAUUUCAGGUCAAGGUGCAGCUUGUUUCUAAGUGAAUGAUGGAUUACAUUGCUAUUUGUUUUAUGGAUUAUUGGUUUUAAUAUUGGUAUGAAAUUGGAUUUGGUUGUAAUUAUUUGUAGAUUGUUAUUGUGAUAAAUGGUUCUGGGAUAUGCACACAUCGCCCGUCGCUCUU